GCCCAGACUCCUACGGGAGGCAGCAGUGGGGAAUAUUGCACAAUGGGGGAAACCCUGAUGCAGCGACGCCGCGUGAGCGAUGAAGUAUUUCGGUAUGUAAAGCUCUAUCAGCAGGGAAGAAAAUGACGGUACCUGACUAAGAAGCCCCGGCUAACUACGUGCCAGCAGCCGCGGUAAUACGUAGGGGGCAAGCGUUAUCCGGAUUUACUGGGUGUAAAGGGAGCGUAGACGGCGAUGCAAGCCAGAUGUGAAAGCCCGGGGCUCAACCCCGGGACUGCAUUUGGAACUGUGUGGCUGGAGUGUCGGAGAGGCAGGCGGAAUUCCUAGUGUAGCGGUGAAAUGCGUAGAUAUUAGGAGGAACACCAGUGGCGAAGGCGGCCUGCUGGACGAUGACUGACGUUGAGGCUCGAAAGCGUGGGGAGCAAACAGGAUUAGAUACCCGGGUAA
rnacentral:rRNA from 1 species